AAAGAAUCAGCAGCCAUAUGGGAAAGAAGCAGAAGCAGAGGUAGAAAAGGGAAAUGGAAACCUUACCCAACAUCAAGAAGCUGUGAAAUGAUAGAGCUGUCCAUGGUCUUCACAUCAUUUAGAAAGUGUGAAUUUGGGAGAUGGCAGAAAAAACAAAAAACAAAAAAAAGCAGUCUUCUAGAGAAAAACAGUGGGCUGGUUAGAAGAUGACACCUUGGAAUGGUGCAGAAUUGACUUUGCCAAGGAGAAGGAGAGAAAUGACUGCAUUUCAUCAUAACUAUGCUUGAAAGAAUGGAGUAGAUGACCCCUUACGGCCACUUCCACUUGCCAGAUUUCAUAUGCAAACUUACUCCUUUUUUAUCCCUCAGAACACUGGAAAGGUUUCAAAAGACAAGUAAUCUUAGCACACUCUGUCCUUGGAGAAUUGUGGAUGAAAGGGGCACAUAAAUACCUGUUAUUAGUUUCAUGCAGCAAUUUUAGUUGGAUUUUCUUGACCCAUCUCCCCUUUUGUAAUAUUUCUCAGGGAGUAUGCAUAUAUGUGAGAGUGUGUGUGUGUGUGUCUGUGUGUGUCUGUGUGUGUGUGUGUGUUUAAGUGGUUUUGACCUUAGGGUUCUCUUUGAUUUAUAGGCAGCUCUGUAAGUUAUGCUGGGAUGGUUUCAGAGCCUGUUUGUUCUGGCAUCCCAGUAAAGCUUUGCUUCCCAUGGCAACUCCAGCCUACGAAGAAAGGCCUCAGGGAAAAUACAGCUUUCAUUGCCAGAAUGAGGCAAUAGCACUUUUGGGGUGCUAUUUUGUUGGGUGGUGUAUUAAUUCUUAAGCAACUCCACUCAUGGAAAACUAAAAAAGCGUUACAGUCUGAAUAUUACCACAGACAGCAGCAAUCUCAGUUUCUCUCAAAAAAGUUAAUUGAUUCCAUGAGACUUUAUUUAAUUUGGGGUUUUUCAGGCACUGUCUGCACAGUAGCAAGAUUGUGGGGCAUGACCUUAAUGAGUGGUUCUAACAUAUGCAUGUUCCCUUCUAAACAGCCUUCCCAUUUAUAGUCUCAACUUCACAGUUUAACCUUAAGGUCAAUUUUUGACUUUCACUGAUGCUCUUCCCUGCUUGUAUUCAAAAGGAACCUGUGCUUCUCAGUCUUGGCGUGUACAUCAGAAUUAACCAGGGAGCUUCCAAUAAAUGCCAAUGCCCAGACCCUACCAUUAGAGAUUCUAAUAGUGGUGGCAUGGGGCAGGGUUUGGGUAUCAAUAGUUUUCAAAGGUCCCCAAGAUAUUUUAAU
rnacentral:lncRNA from 10 species